UACAGAGGGUGCAAGCGUUAAUCGGAAUUACUGGGCGUAAAGCGUGCGUAGACGGUUAUUUAAGUCAGGUGUGAAAGCCCCGGGCUCAACCUGGGAAUUGCAUUUGAGACUGAAUAGCUAGGGUGCGGAAGAGGGAAGCGGAAUUUCCGGUGUGAGCGGUGAAAUGCGUAGAUAUCAGGAGGAACACCUGUGGUGUGAGACGGCUUUCGUGGACCGUAGCUGACGCUGAGACACGAAAGCGCGGGUAGCAAACAGG
rnacentral:rRNA from 1 species